rnacentral:tRNA from 1 species
GGAAGGGUACAGCUCAGUGGUAGAACACAUGCUUAGCAUGCAUGAGGUCCUGGGUUCAAUCCCCAGUGCCUCCA